rnacentral:rRNA from 1 species
AGAGUUUGAUCCUGGCUCAGGAUGAACGCUAGCGGCAGGCUUAAUACAUGCAAGUCGUGGGGCAGCGCGGGUAGCAAUACCUGGCGGCGACCGGCAAACGGGUGCGGAACACGUACGCAACCUUCCUUCAAGUGGGGAAUAGCCCAGGGAAACUUGGAUUAAUACCCCGUAAUACUAUGAGAUGGCAUCAUCUUAUACUUAUAGCUCCGGCGCUUGAAGAUGGGCGUGCGCCUGAUUAGGUAGUUGGCGGGGUAACGGCCCACCAAGCCUACGAUCAGUAACUGGUGUGAGAGCACGACCAGUCACACGGGCACUGAGACACGGGCCCGACUCCUACGGGAGGCAGCAGUAAGGAAUAUUGGGCAAUGGACGCAAGUCUGACCCAGCCAUGCCGCGUGGAGGAUGAAGGUCCUCUGGAUUGUAAACUUCUUUUAUCUGGGAAGAAACCCAUAAUUUCUAUUGUGGUUGACGGUACCAGAUGAAUAAGCACCGGCUAACUCCGUGCCAGCAGCCGCGGUAAUACGGAGGGUGCAAGCGUUAUCCGGAUUCACUGGGUUUAAAGGGUGCGUAGGUGGGUAGGUAAGUCAGUGGUGAAAUCCCCGAGCUUAACUUGGGAACUGCCGUUGAUACUAUCUAUCUUGAAUAUCGCGUAGGUAAGCGGAAUAUGUCAUGUAGCGGUGAAAUGCUUAGAUAUGACAUAGAACACCAAUUGCGAAGGCAGCUUACUUCACGAUCAUUGACACUGAGGCACGAAAGCGUGGGGAGCAAACAGGAUUAGAUACCCUAGUAGUCC